rnacentral:rRNA from 1 species
UUUCCCCUNUUUAUCAAAANCAUGUCUGUAUGGKGGUGUUAKWUASWRUCUACAUGCCCACUGAUUUAUUAAAGGGCCGCGGUAUUUUGACCGUGCGAAGGUAGCAUAAUCAUUAGUCUUUUAAUUGGAGGCUUGUAUGAAUGGUUGGACAAAAAGUUAGCUGUCUCAUUUAUAUAAAAUUGAAUUUAACUUUUAAGUGAAAAGGCUUAAAUGUAUUGAGGGGACGAUAAGACCCUAUAAAGCUUUACAAUAAAAUUAUUAAAUUAUAAAUUGUUAGUCUAACUUAGUUUAAUAAUUGUUUGUUUCGUUGGGGCGACGAGAAUAUAAUAAUAUAACUGUUCUUUUAAAAAUUAUUUAACAGAUUUAAUUGGAUUAUAAUUGAUCCUUUAAUAAAGAUUAAAAGAUUAAGUUACUUUAGGGAUAACAGCGUAAUCUUCUUUGAGAGUCCAUAUCGACAAGAAGGGUUGCGACCUCGAUGUUGAAUUAAGGUAUCCUUGUGGUGUAGCAGUUACAAAGGAAGGUCUGUUCGACCUUUAAAUCCUUACAUGAUUUGAGUUCAGACCGGCGUGAGCCAGGUUGGGUUUCUAUCUAAA